rnacentral:tRNA from 1 species
GGAGGCCUUAGCUUAAUUAAAGUGUCUGAGUUGCAUUCAGAAGAUGUGGUUUAGUGUUCCACAGGUUUUA